GACGAACGCUGGCGGCGUGCCUAAUACAUGCAAGUAGAACGCUGAAGAGAGGAGCUUACUCUUCUUGGAUGAGUUGCGAACGGGUGAGUAACGCGUAGGUAACCUGCCUUGUAGCGGGGGAUAACUAUUGGAAACGAUAGCUAAUACCGCAUAACAAUGGAUGACACAUGUCAUUUAUUUGAAAGGGGCAAUUGCUCCACUACAAGAUGGACCUGCGUUGUAUUAGCUAGUAGGUGAGGUAAUGGCUCACCUAGGCGACGAUACAUAGCCGACCUGAGAGGGUGAGCCGCCCCCCUGGGACUGAGCCACGGCCCAGACCCCUGCGGGGGGCAGCAGUGGGGAAUCUUCGGAAAUGGGGGCAACCCUGACCGAGCAACCCCGCGGGGGUGAAGAAGUUUUUCGGAUCUUAAAGCCUUUUUGUAAGUCAAAAACGGGUGGGAGGGUGGAAGGUUCACCCUGUGGCGGUAGCUUACCAGAAAGGGACGGCUAACUACGU
rnacentral:rRNA from 1 species